rnacentral:lncRNA from 12 species
AGGCGUGGACUAUAUCAUCCGUUAGCCUGGGCCAAGCUGGACUUUGUUACUAAGCCAUGUGCCCGGAAUCGCUCAACCCGAGUAUCGGUUGUCUCGUGCAAAAUGCUCACACUUUAUAAGAUCAGAUCUCUGUGUUCUGCCUACAGAUGUCUUGGUCUGGAUUCACAGAGGAGGCGGCACUGCUGAGUGAGACUUUACCCCCAGCAAAGAGGAUGACAACAAGCAAAAAGAAAGUUCCCUUGCUACCUUGGACUGCCUGUGAAUGGUAAGUCGGAAAGGCCGUGGCAGGCUGAAGCUCCAUUUACACACUGACACACUCCUGUCUUGUUAAUAUUUGCAUUGAACAAGCCAUUUUCUGUGCUGACAUUUUGCAUCUAGUUAAAUGCCAGCAAAUCCGGGGAGAUGUGACUUUGACCUGUGGUUCUGCCCUUACGGACAACCGUUGGAUGCUGUGAUACUUCCAUUUUAAUUUCUCAUAUUCCACAUUUUGGAUUCUUUCAGCUCAGAUUUUUUUUUUAAACUGGAUGUAAUGCGUCAGACUUAACAUUAUCUCUGCUGAAUAUUUAAUUGGGAAAUGUUGUUAAAAAGGCAUUU